CUUAAUAAAAUUUGUCGCGAUUUAUAAAUUGAAGGAUUGCAGCUUCGAUAUAUAGCGGCCAUGCACCACGUGACUUCCUUUCCGGUCUAACCUGACAACAUGGACGCCAGCCGCGUGCAGCCGAUCAAGCUCGCAAGAGUCACCAAAGUGCUCGGAAGAACAGGCUCACAGGGACAAUGUACACAGGUCCGUGUUGAGUUCAUGGAUGACAGCAACCGCUCCAUCAUCAGGAACGUGAAGGGUCCCGUCAGAGAGGGAGACGUGCUCACACUGCUGGAGUCUGAGAGAGAGGCCAGGAGGCUGCGAUAGAUCAGUGGCUUUCGGUGAGGUACCAUGAAGGACAGAGUCUGAAGAUUUUUGUACCAAAGUGCCCAGUGAUGCUGUGAGGUGCCAAUCCAGAGCUCGCGGAGCACAAGACGACGUCAGUUCUCUUGCAAUGGCCUACAUCUCACAUCUCACUUAUGCUGAUGUUUUCAAAUAAAUUUGGUUAAUGAGAUGAGUUACGGGAAA